rnacentral:rRNA from 1 species
GACGAACGCUGGCGGCGUGCUUAACACAUGCAAGUCGAACGGAAAGGCCCUGCUUUUGUGGGGUGCUCGAGUGGCGAACGGGUGAGUAACACGUGAGUAACCUGCCCUUGACUUUGGGAUAACUUCAGGAAACUGGGGCUAAUACCGGAUAGGAGCUCCUGCUGCAUGGUGGGGGUUGGAAAGUUUCGGCGGUUGGGGAUGGACUCGCGGCUUAUCAGCUUGUUGGUUGGGUAGUGGCAUACCAAGGCUUUGACGGGUAGCCGGCCUGGGAGGGUGACCGGCCACAUUGCGACUGAGAUACGGCCCAGACCCGUACGGGAGGCAGCGGUGGGGAGUAUUGCACAGUGGGCGGGAGCCUGAUGCAGCAACGCCGCGUGCGGGAUGACGGCCUGCGGGUUGUGAACCGCAUCCGCCUGUGACGAAGCGUGAGUGACGGUACUGGGUGAAGAAGCACCGGCUAACUACGUG